GAAUGUGACGGUCAUCUGACUACAGCGUUUGUCACCCUGUUGAUCACGAGCAAUGCUUAGGCCUAUCUGGCAGGCUUGGCGGGUGUCCACUUCUCCCUCACUGUUCCAUGCGUGUUCUCCCGAAGCUGGGACAAUAAAGGAAGAUGUUUUUCUCUUAAACUCUUCUAUUAACUGCACUUCCCUGCUGGAACUUCCAAAGAGGCCAAUGACUUAAAUCAUCUUUGAUAUGACAGGGACUUCCAAUUUUAGGUCUCCAUCCCUAACGUCCUUUAUUAAGGUCCAAGGCCAUAUAUUCAGUUGC
rnacentral:snRNA from 1 species